rnacentral:rRNA from 1 species
CACGUAGUUAGCCGUGACUUUCUGGUUAGGUACCGUCAAAGUCAAGACAGUUACUCCUUGACUUGUUCUUCUCUAAUAACAGAACUUUACGAUCCGAAGACCUUCUUCAUUCACGCGGCAUUGCUCCAUCAGGCCUUCGCCCAUUGUGGAAGAUUCCCUACUGCUGCCUCCCGUAGGAGUCUGGGCCGUGUCUCAGUCCCAGUGUGGCCGAUCACCCUCUCAGGUCGGCUACGUAUCACAGCUUUGGUGAGCCAUUACCUCACCAACUAGCUAAUACGGCGCGGGGCCAUCCAUGAGUGACAGCAAAAGCCGUCUUUCGUCUCUGGACCAGGCGGUCCAAAGCAUUAUGCGGUAUUAGCAUCCGUUUCCGAAUGUUAUCCCCCUCUCAUGGGCAGGUUCCCCAGUGUUACUCACCCGUUGCUACUCUUCAAUUCUCUGCAAGCAGAGAAUAUCAUCGUCAACUUGCAUGUAUUAGGCAUGCCGCC